CAUAACAAUAACGACUCUCGGCAACGGAUAUCAAGGCUCUUGCAUCGAUGAAAAACGCAACAAA
rnacentral:rRNA from 1 species